GAGCGAAAGCGUGGGGAGCGAACAGGAUUAGAUACCCUGGUAGUCCACGCCGUAAACGUUGGGCACUAGGUGUGGGACCUUAUCAACGGGUUCCGUGCCGUAGCUAACGCAUUAAGUGCCCCGCCUGGGGAGUACGGCCGCAAGGCUAAAGCUCAAAGGAAUUGACGGGGGCCCGCACAAGCGGCGGAGCAUGUGGCUUAAUUCGAGGCAACGCGAAGAACCUUACCUGGGUUGAACUACGCAGGAAAAGCCGCAGAGAUGCGGUGUCCGCAAGGGCCUGCGAUAGGUGGUGCAUGGCUGUCGUCAGCUCGUGUCGUGAGAUGUUGGGUUAAGUCCCGCAACGAGCGCAACCCUUGUCCUAUGUUGCCAGCGGGUAAUGCCGGGGACUCGUAGGAGACUGCCGGGGUCAACUCGGAGGAAGGUGGGGAUGACGUCAAGUCAUCAUGCCCCUUACGUCCAGGGCUGCACACAUGCUACAAUGGCCGGUACAAAGGGCUGCUAUCCCGCGAGGGUGAGCGAAUCCCAAAAAGCCGGUCUCAGUUCGGAUCGUAGUCUGCAACUCGACUACGUGAAGUCGGAGUCGCUAGUAAUCCCGGAUCAGCAACGCCGGGGUGAAUACGUUCCCGGGCCUUGUACACACCGCCCGUCACACCACGAAAGUCGGUAACACCCGAAGCCAGUGGCCCAACCGCAAGGAGGGAGCUGUCGAAGGUGGGAUCGGUGAUUGGGGUGAAGUCGUAACAAGGUACCAAUCCCGCG
rnacentral:rRNA from 1 species